rnacentral:rRNA from 1 species
GCCCGCGAUCAUACCAAGUUGGAAACACAGGUUCUCGUCUGAUUAUUGGGCCCGGUUAGUACUUGCAUGGGUGACCGGCUGGAAAUAUCGGGUGCUGUGGCCG